rnacentral:rRNA from 1 species
GUCCACGCCGUAAACGAUGGGCACUAGAUGUGGGGGGUGUCGACUCCCUCCGUGUCGAAGCUAACGCAUUAAGUGCCCCGCCUGGGGAGUACGGCCGCAAGGCUAAAACUCAAAGGAAUUGACGGGGGCCCGCACAAGCAGCGGAGCAUGUGGUUUAAUUCGACGCAACGCGAAGAACCUUACCUGGGCUUGACAUGUUCCUGACCCCCCUGGAAACAGGGGUUCCCUUCGGGGCAGGAUCACAGGUGGUGCAUGGCUGUCGU